CCUACGGGCGGCUGCAGUAGGGAAUCUUUCACAAUGGGCGAAAGCCUGAUGGAGCAACGCCGCGUGCAGGAUGAAGGCCUUCGGGUUGUAAACUUCUUUUAAGAGGGAAGAGCAGAAGACGGUACCUCUUGAAUAAGCCACGGCUAACUACGUGCCAGCAGCCGCGGUAAUACGUAGGUGGCAAGCGUUGUCCGGAUUUACUGGGUGUAAAGGGCGUGCAGCCGGGAAGACAAGUCAGAUGUGAAAUCCCGCGGCUCAACCGCGGAACUGCAUUUGAAACUGUUUUUCUUGAGUACCGGAGAGGUCAUCGGAAUUCCUUGUGUAGCGGUGAAAUGCGUAGAUAUAAGGAAGAACACCAGUGGCGAAGGCGGAUGACUGGACGGCAACUGACGGUGAGGCGCGAAAGCGUGGGGAGCAAACAGGAUUAGAUACCCCAGUAGUC
rnacentral:rRNA from 1 species